rnacentral:rRNA from 1 species
UACGUAGGGACCGAGCGUUGUCCGGAUUCAUUGGGCGUAAAGAGCUCGUAGGCGGCUAUUCAAGUCGAACGUGAAAUCUCGGAGCUCAACUCCGAAACUGCGUUCGAUACUGGGUAGCUAGAGUCUGGUAGGGGGAUCUGGAAUUCCUGGUGUAGCGGUGGAAUGCGCAGAUAUCAGGAGGAACACCAAUAGCGAAGGCAGCUCGCUGGGACGGUACUGACGCUAAGGCGCGAAAGCUAGGGGAGCGAACGGG